rnacentral:rRNA from 1 species
GAUUUGAUCCUGGCUCAGGAUGAACGCUAGCGGCAGGCCUAACACAUGCAAGUCGAGGGGUAACAGGGAAGAGCUUGCUCUUUCGCUGACGACCGGCGCACGGGUGCGUAACGCGUAUACAACCUACCUUUUGGAGGGGAAUAGCCCAGGGAAACUUGGAUUAAUGCCCCAUAGUAUGGGAAUAUCUCCUGAUAUUUUCAUUAAACAUUUAUGGCCAUUAGAUGGGUAUGCGUCCUAUUAGUUAGUUGGUAAGGUAACGGCUUACCAAGGCAGCGAUAGGUAGGGGUCCUGAGAGGGAGAUCCCCCACACUGGUACUGAGACACGGACCAGACUCCUACGGGAGGCAGCAGUGAGGAAUAUUGGACAAUGGGCGAGAGCCUGAUCCAGCCAUGCCGCGUGCAGGAAGACUGCCCUAUGGGUUGUAAACUGCUUUUACAGAGGAAGAACCACUCCCACGUGUGGGAGUUUGACGGUACUCUGCGAAUAAGGAUCGGCUAACUCCGUGCCAGCAGCCGCGGUAAUACGGAGGAUCCAAGCGUUAUCCGGAAUCAUUGGGUUUAAAGGGUCCGUAGGCGGGCAGUUAAGUCAGUGGUGAAAGUCUUCCGCUCAACGGGAGAACUGCCAUUGAUACUGAUUGUCUUGAGUUAUUAUGAAGUGGUUAGAAUGAGUAGUGUAGCGGUGAAAUGCAUAGAUAUUACUCAGAAUACCGAUUGCGAAGGCAGAUCACUAAUAAUAUACCGACGCUGAUGGACGAAAGCGUAGGUAGCGAACAGGAUUAGAUACCCUGGUAGUCUACGCCGUAACGAUGGUUACUAGCUGUUCGGCCCGAUUAAGGGCUGAGUGGUUAAGCGAAAGUGAUAAGUAACCCACCUGGGGAGUACGUUCGCAAGAAUGAAACUCAAAGGAAUUGACGGGGGCCCGCACAAGCGGUGGAGCAUGUGGUUUAAUUCGCAUGAUACGACGAGGAACCUUACCAGCGGCUUAAAUGUAGUCGUGACUAGGAAGGUUAAUCGCAUUUGUUGCUUCAACAGAUACACCGUGCAGCA